rnacentral:rRNA from 1 species
CCUACGGGUGGCAGCAGUGGGGAAUAUUGGACAAUGGGGGGAACCCUGAUCCAGCGACGCCGCGUGAGUGAAGAAGUAUUUCGGUAUGUAAAGCUCUAUCAGCAGGGAAGAAAGAAAUGACGGUACCUGACUAAGAAGCCCCGGCUAACUACGUGCCAGCAGCCGCGGUAAUACGGAGGGGGCAAGCGUUAUCCGGAUUUACUGGGUGUAAAGGGAGCGUAGACGGCGAGGCAAGUCUGAAGUGAAAGGCGGGGGCCCAACCUCCGGACUGCUUUGGAAACUGUAUGGCUGGAGUGCAGGGGAAGCAAGUGGAAUUCGUGGUGUAGCGGUGAAAUGCGUAGAGAUUAGGAAGAACGCCGAGGGCGAAGGCAGCUUACUGGACUGUAACUGACGUGGAGGCUCGAAAGCGCGGGGAGCAAACAGGAUUAGAUACCCUAGUAGUC